rnacentral:rRNA from 1 species
AACGAACGCUGGCGGCAUGCCUAACACAUGCAAGUCGAACGAACCCUUCGGGGUGAGUGGCACACGGGUGCGUAACGCGUGGGAACCUGCCCUUAGGUUCGGAAUAACAGUGAGAAAUCGCUGCUAAUACCGGAUAAUGUCUUCGGACCAAAGAUUUAUCGCCUUUGGAUGGGCCCGCGUUGGAUUAGCUAGCUGGUGGGGUAAAGGCUCACCAAGGCGACGAUCCAUAGCUGGUCUCAGAGGAUGAUCAGCCACACUGGGACUGAGACACGGCCCAGACUCCUACGGGAGGCAGCAGUGGGGAAUAUUGGACAAUGGGCGAAAGCCUGAUCCAGCAAUGCCGCGUGAGUGAUGAAGGCCUUAGGGUUGUAAAGCUCUUUUACCAGGGAUGAUAAUGACAGUACCUGGAGAAUAAGCUCCGGCCAACUCCGUG